GCAGGCUGCAACUCGCCUGCAUGAAGUCGGAAUUGCUAGUAAUCGCAGAUCAGCAUGCUGUGGUGAAUACGUUCCCGGGCCUUGUACACACCGCCCGUCACACCAUGGGAGUCGGUAACACCCAAAGUUGGUAGUCUAACCGCAAGGAGGACGCCGCCUAAGGUGGGAUUGAUGACUGGGGUGAAGUCGUAACAAGGUAAC
rnacentral:rRNA from 1 species